ACAGUCCAUGGUUCCAUAGUAGCGGUCUGCUGUUAGCCUCCACCGGAAAGCUAACAACAGACAUCUUAAUUUAGCUGUAGCUGCUUUUCCCACGGUUUAGUUUGAGUAACGUUAUUGUAGACUGAAGCAAAGCUAGCGGUUAGCCGGGAAGCUAACGGCGGUGGAGGCUAACCGUUCUCUUAAUACAUCCAUGGGUCUAACGGCUAACGGCCACAACUAUGACAGAUCGUGUACUGAUGUGUUAGCUAAGAGAACGGUUAGCCUCCACCGGUAAGCUGACGCUAGUUUAGCUAACAGAUAUUUCGGCCAACAGGCUUUAGG